GGGUGACACCAAAAAAAUCAGUGUUGCAUAUGGAAACUAAAAAAAAAGAAAGUUAUGUAAUAAGAUGUGGUACAGAAAGGUAAGACCAAAGAACACCUUUCUUAUUAUGAUAAUUAAAUUUCUGACUCUGGUCCCAGAAUAAUAAAAUAUCAAAUAUCAAAAGCUUAUGUACCAUGAUUUUGCUUCCUCUAUAAGUGGCACAUCUUUAUUGUCCAUUAUAUUUUGUCCAAAGAACUAAAGGAUCUGCAGCCUCUAGCUUGACAUACUUUGCAUUAUCAGGAUCAGAAAAUAAAAUAAUUCCUUAAGUCACAAGCUUCCCUGGGCAGUUUUACUACUACUCUUCUGCACAACACAUUAAAGGCAUUUUAUGCAAUUGUUCAGCAGCAAAAGCAAAGUUUACAUGUUACAUCUUUUUUUUUUUUUUCUUUUUUUUUUUUGAGACAGAGUCUUGCUCUGUCGCCACCCAGGCUGGAGUACAGUGGCUUACACCUGUAAUGCCAGCACUUUGGGAGGCCAAGGCAGGUGGAUCAUUUGAGGUCAGGAGUUCCAGACCUGCCUGGCCAACAUGGUGAAACCCCAUCUCUACUAAAAAUACAAAAAUUAGCAGCGUGUAGUGGAUACAUGCCUGUAAUCCCAGCUACUUGGGAGGCUGGGGCAGGAGAACUGCUUGAACCCUGGAGGCGGAGGUUGCAGCGAGCUGAGAUCAUGCCACUGCACUCCAGCCAGGGCGACAGAGUGACGCUCCAUCUCAAAAUAAAGAAAUGAAAUGAAAUGAAAUGAAAAGGAAAGAAAGAAAAAAGAAAGAAAGAAAGAAAGGGAAAGAAAGAAAAGAAAGGAAGGGAGGAAGGAAGGAAAGAAGGAAGGAAGGAAAGACAGACAUCUAAGAUAUAUCAAAUGUAUCUGUGGGUACAAGAGGGUAGGUGCGGCACAGAGGGAGUGGGAAAAUCACUAUAAAGGGUAAAAGUAGCAAAAUACAAUGAGAGGGGCCUU
rnacentral:lncRNA from 1 species